CGCUUACCGCUCCGGUGAUCGCAGACAUUCUAGUCGGUACAGCGAAAGAACCUUCUCUUCUCUGUUUCACUUCUCAUUCGCGCUUCAUUUUCGGAUCGGGUUUGGGUUUAACAAUAUAUGGCCACAUCUCCGUUCCGGAGAAACAAUGUGUCAAUGAUCCAUGAUCACAAGAGAGGGAGACGCCACAUCUCUACCCAAAAUCUUAAGGCAUUAGGUUCAUGGAUCACUUCUCAUAAAUCCAACAUUCUUCUCAUUCAUAAUUGAUGUGGGUUUGAAUUAGAUGUUAUUUAAAUAUUAGUAGGUGCUUUGAUUUUAAUCUUAAUUAUGUCUCUACUAUAAGAGAAAUUAUUAAGAAGAUUUUUAGGUUAAUGAGUUGGAUAGAAAUAUGGUAUAUGAUAGAACACUAUAUGAUGUCGUUUGAUCCAUGUAGCAGACCCCACUUAGUGGGAUAAGGCUUGGUUGUUGUAUGCGCCUACUUUUUUGUUUGGAAGUUCUUAGAUAAAUUACAUGACUUAUACUGGUUUAGUUGAUGUUGUGGUUUGAAUUUCAUAGUUUGUUGAUUGAAUAACUUGGCUUUUGUGGUACAUAUUGGGGGUAUACAUUACGGGUGGCUUGGUGGUUGGGGUGGAGGAGUUAAAGAGUGGAGUGAUAAGGAUGUCGAGGAUUCAAUCCCACCCCCAAUAUAAAAACUUACAAUACUAGCAUUUGCAUUUUCAAAGAAAAAAUAAUAAUCUAUGGUUGCUUCUUGAGGUUACUUACUUAGCAUGAAUGAUGAAUCCCAAGUUUGAGCACAUAUUGUGGAGCUAAGGUUCACGUAUCACAUCAUCUCAUAAUGUACACUGCUGAUUUUAGAUUGUCACCAUCUGAUUUUGCAGCUCAUAAUGUACACUGCAGCUGGUUUAUAGGUGGAACAUUGACACUCUUUAUCUCACUCUACAACUUGUUAAUGCAAAUUAUAACUGAGAUAAGGAUAAUAGUAGUAUAUAUCUCAUACUUACAAACUUAUCAUUUUUGUUAAAAUUGAAUAUUGAACUAGUGGUGAAGCUAAUGGAGUGAUUCAUAAAGUGAAAUAUUUCCCCUACUUUCAUGAAGAAUUAAUUGCCUAUUAUUAAUUUGACAAUGUUGAGAUGCUGCAGAUCAUCAUGGACCUCCAAGGGUGAACAUUUGGCAGGAUCCACUCUCCCCAUCUAAGUGGAAAUAAGAGCAUGAUAAAUUGCAAGCUGAAAAUACCAUCUUAACUCACUACUAUUUCUCACUCUGCAAGUUUGACAUCUUCCUCCAAGGCUAAUGAGAAGAUGAAGAAAAUGCAAUCUGAAAUCAAUUCGCUCAAGGACAACACUUCAUAAGUUGAUAUAUUGAAGGAGCAAGUUGCAUUUUUAUUGCAAAUGCAAAACUCUAGCGAAAAUCAGGUAUCUGCAUUAGAAGAGUCACUAAAUAGUAGGUGUUUUUAGUCAAGCAAGCACUGAGGAUCAUGAAGCAACAUCACUAGGAAAUAUUUAGAUAUUUUUGUGAACUUCUAAUUUUGAUGUAAUUGUUUUGUAUGUUUAGUCACUUUACUAAUGUAAUUUUGUAUUACUUUAAUUAUUGUUUUAGUUAAGUUUUGAUGUAUGGAUGUUACUAUUGAAUAAAUUAUAUGAAUGAGAAUAAGUCAUUUAUAUUUA